rnacentral:rRNA from 1 species
UUUUAAUGUAAAUAUAGAAGUYUAGAUUAUUAAAAGUUAAGUUCUUUAAAAUUAAAUAUAAUGGCGGUAUUUUAGUCUUUUCAGAGGAACCUGUUCUAUAAUUGAUAAUCCACGUUUAAAUAUACUUUUAUUAGAAAUUUAUAUAUCGUUGUUAAAAUUAUUUUUUAAAAAUUUAAUAAUUAAAAUUUUUUUUAGAAAUUAAAUCAGAUCAAGGUGUAGUUUAUAUAAAAGCAGAAAUGGGUUACAAUAAUUUAUAAAUUAUGGUUUAUUUAUUUUAAAUAUAAUAAUAAAUUGGAUUUGAAAGUAAUUAAAUUUUAUUUUUUUUUGAUGAUUAAGCUCUAAAAUAUGU